rnacentral:misc_RNA from 1 species
GAUGAAGAACGCAGCGAAAUGCGAUAAGUAGUGUGAAUUGCAGAAUUCAGUGAAUCAUCGAAUCUUUGAACGCACAUUGCGCCCCUUGGUAUUCCAUGGGGCAUGCCUGUUCGAGCGUCAUUUGUACCUUCAAGCUCUGCUUGGUGUUGGGUGUUUGUCUCGCCUCUGCGUGUAGACUCGCCUCAAAACAAUUGGCAGCCGGCGUAUUGAUUUCGGAGCGCAGUACAUCUCGCGCUUUGCACUCAUAACGACGACGUCCAAAAGUACAUUUUUACACUCUUGACCUCGGAUCAGGUAGGGAUACCCGCUGAACUUAAGCAUAUCAAUAAGCGGAGCA